AAUGACUAUAUAUGAAGCGAUAUGGUUAAUAAGUGAAGAAAAGGGUUAAUUUAUAGUAAAGAGUAUUGAGUAAAAGAAUAGGAGUUGAUUGAAAAAGGAGCUGUAGAAUUUAGGAAGAUAAAUAUUUAAACUUUGUACCUUUUGUAUAAUGUAUUUUUGAGAAUAGGUGAUAUAUUUUUAGAUCUCGAAGUUUAAAGAUCUAUAAAGUAAGGAGGAGGAAGUUAGUGUAGAAGAACUAUUUUUGAUAUUUUUAUAGUAGUGAUAUUCUUUUCGUUUUAAACGAUAGCUGGUUUUUUGGGAAAAAAAUUUUGUUUUAUUAGAUAUAGGUAUGUAUUUAAGGUGUCUUAAGAGGGUUAAUCUUUUUAGGGUGUAUAUUUUUUGUGAAAAUGAUGUGUAAAUUUUCUAGGCUUGAGGAUAGUUUUGGGAUGUAAGUAUGUUAUGAUUUAUUUAUGGUAGGAAAAUCUUUGUUUGAAAAAGGUGUGUAUUGUUUUACUGAAUUUUCUUUUUAUGAAUAAAAGGUUUGAGGAGCGAUUAUGAUAAUAUUAGUAUUAAGAUUAUUUUUAUUGUAGUAAUGGUAAAGCAAGUAUUAAAAAGAAAUCGAAGAUAGAAAAUAAGAUAAUGAAUUCGGCAAUAAAAGUUUCGACUGUUUAACAAAAACAUUUUUUUUCGAAAAGUAAUGGGAAAUAGGGCCUGCUCAAUGAUGUUUAAUAGCCGUGGUAUUUUGACCAUGCUAAGGUAGCAUAAUCAUUUGGUUUUUAAUUGGGAUCUCGUAUGAAAGGUUGAACGAAAGCUUUUCUGUAUCAUUUUAUUUCUGUAAAAUUUAUUUUUCAAGUGAAGAAACUUGGUUGAAAGAAAAGGACAAGAAGACCCUGUCGAGCUUUUAUAAGUGCAUUAAUUUAGAAGGUGGUGUUAUUAUUUUAGUUGGGGCAACUAAGGAAAAUAACUUCUUUAAUUUAGUGAUUGGUAGGUAUAAAAGAUAAAGAAAUUUUUAUAAGAGAGCAAGUUACCGCAGGGAUAACAGCGUAAUUUUUUUUGAAAGACCGUAUUGGAAGAGAAGAUUGCGACCUCGAUGUUGGAUUAAAACGUCCUUGGGGGGCAGAAAAUUCAAAGGGUUGGUCUGUUCGACCAUUAAAGUUUUACAUGAUCUGAGUUCAGACCGGCGUGAGCCAGGUUGGUUUCUAUCCUUUAGAUUAUUGAUUUGGGUUAAGUUUAGUACGAAAGGAAAAUUAUUUAAGUUUUAUUUU
rnacentral:rRNA from 1 species